UGGAUUAGGCAUGCAAGUCGAGCGAGAUUUCAGGGAUCAAGUCUUCGGACAAGUGAACUGAAUGAGAGCGGCGAAAGGGUGAGUAAUGCCUGGGUAAUUUGCCUUCAAGUCGGGAAUACCUCCGGGAAACUGGAGUUAAUGCCGGAUGUGAUGAGUCUUCGCAUGGAGACGACUUUAAAGGCGGGUAGCAAUACCUGUCGCUUGGAGAUAAGCCCAGGUCCUAUCAGCUUGUUGGUGAGGUAACGGCUCACCAAGGCUUACGGGUAGCCGACCUGAGAGGGUGAUCGGCCACACUGGGACUGAGACACUGCCCAGACUCCUACGGGAGGCUGCAGUCGAGAAUCUUGGACAAUGCGCGAAAGCGUGAUCCAGCGACGCCGCGUGGAGGAUGAAGGCUUUCGGGUUGUAAACUCCUGUUGUCAGGGAGCAACCGGUAGCGGGCUAAUACCCCGUUACCCUGAUAGUACCUGACGAGAAAGCCACGGCUAACUCUGUGCCAGCAGCCGCGGUAAUACAGAGGUGGCGAGCGUUGUUCGGAUUUACUGGGCGUAAAGGGUGCGUAGGCGGUCAGGCAAGUCGGAUGUGAAAUCUCACUGUUCAUCGGUGAAACUGCAUUCGAAACUGCCAGACUGGAGUACAGGAGAGGAGAGCGGAAUUCACGGUGUAGCGGUGAAAUGCGUUGAUAUCGUGAGGAACGCCGGUGGCGAAGGCGGCUCUCUGGACUGUUACUGACGCUGAGGCACGAAAGCUAGGGGAGCAAACAGGAUUAGAUACCCUGGUAGUCCUAGCCGUAAACGGUGUGCACUUGGUGUGGGAGGAUUUAUCCCCUUCCGUGCCGGAGCUAACGUGUUAAGUGCACCGCCUGGGGAGUACGGCCGGCAGGCUA
rnacentral:rRNA from 1 species